rnacentral:rRNA from 1 species
UGGGGAAUAUUGCACAAUGGGCGGAAGCCUGAUGCAGCAACGCCGCGUGCGGGAUGACGGCCUUCGGGUUGUAAACCGCUUUCGCCUGUGACGAAGCGUGAGUGACGGUAAUGGGUAAAGAAGCACCGGCUAACUACGUGCCAGCAGCCGCGGUGAUACGUAGGGUGCGAGGGGUGUCCGGAUUUAUUGGGCGUAAAGGGCUCGUAGGUGGUUGAUCGCGUCGGAAGUGUAAUCUUGGGGCUUAACCCUGAGCGUGCUUUCGAUACGGGUUGACUUGAGGAAGGUAGGGGAGAAUGGAAUUCCUGGUGGAGCGGUGGAAUGCGCAGAUAUCAGGAGGAACACCAGUGGCGAAGGCGGUUCUCUGGGCCUUUCCUGACGCUGAGGAGCGAAAGCGUGGGGAGCGAACA